GACGAACGCUGGCGGCGUGCUUAACACAUGCAAGUCGAACGGAAAGGCCCUGCUUUUGUGGGGUGCUCGAGUGGCGAACGGGUGAGUAACACGUGAGUAACCUGCCCUUGACUUUGGGAUAACUUCAGGAAACUGGGGCUAAUACCGGAUAGGAGCUCCUGCUGCAUGGUGGGGGUUGGAAAGAUUCGGCGGUUGGGGAUGGACUCGCGGCUUAUCAGCUUGUUGGUGGGGUAGUGGCUUACGAAGGCUUUGACGGGUAGCCCGCCUGAGAGGGUGACCGGCCACAUUGGGACUGAGAGACGGCCCAGACGGCUACGGGAGGCAGCAGUGGGGAAUAUUGCACAAUGGGCGGAAGCGUGAUGCAGCAACGCCGCGUGCGGGAUGACGUCCUUCGGGUUGUAAACCGCUUUCGCCUGUGACGAAGCGUGAGUGACGGUAAUGGGUAAAGAAGCACCGGCUAACUACGUG
rnacentral:rRNA from 1 species